rnacentral:rRNA from 1 species
UACGGGGGGGGCAAGCGUUGUUCGGAUUUACUGGGCGUAAAGGGCGCGUAGGCGGCCACCGCAAGUCGACUGUGAAAUCUUCGGGCUUAACUCGGAAAGGUCAGCCGAUACUGCGGGGCUAGAGUGCAGAAGGGGCAACUGGAAUUCUCGGUGUAGCGGUGAAAUGCGUAGAUAUCGAGAGGAACACCUGCGGCGAAGGCGGGUUGCUGGGCUGACACUGACGCUGAGGCGCGAAAGCUAGGGGAGCGAACGGG